rnacentral:rRNA from 1 species
GAGGGGGUGCAAGCGUUAUUCGGAAUCAUUGGGCGUAAAGGGUACGUAGGCGGUACGUUAAGUCAGCUGUCAAAUUUUCCGGCCUAACCGGGAAGCUGGGCGGGCAGAUACUGGCGAACUAGAGGAUGAGAGAGAGAAGUGGAAUUCUCGGAGUAGCGGUAAUAUGCGUCGGAUCUCGAGAGGAACACCGAUGGCGAAGGCAGCUUCUUGGCUCAUUCCUGACGCUGAGGUACGAAAGCGUGGGGAGCAAACAGGAUUAGAUACCCUGGUAGUCCACGCUGUAAACGAUGAUCACUAGACGUCAGCUCUGUUUUACAGGGUUGGUGUCGUAGCUAACGCGUUAAGUGAUCCGCCUGGGGACUACGGUCGCAAGGCUA